UAUAAAUGCUGCGCAGCUCAUCUCUCUCUUUUUCUUUGUAAUGGGACAAUAAGGAGACUCAUAGGAAACUGCAAGCCUUGAGCACUGGGUGACCUUCAGCCAGAUGCCUCUGAAUUCCCUCCUGGGUGUUACCAUCAAUAUCGCUGCCGCUCUUUCUCAGAGUUAGGGUUCAUGGAAAUAACAUGCAUUUGUGGCUGAACUUUGCAACAACAGCUAAAUGUCUGCGAAGUGAGGAAGCCAGAGCAGCUAAAACUGUCAAACCUCAAAAAGGAACCGCAAAACUUCACAUCAAACAAAAGAAAGAAAAGAGUAAUAACAAAAAUGAUAUAACAAAUAUGGAUAUCAAUGAGCAAACAGCAAAUCAGAGAGAAAAACGUUGCCCACAGAUUCAGAAAAACACUUUCACUAGCAGUUCUAAACAUCUGGACAGCACCAGAACACCAGAGCCUGGGAAAUUAAAAAGAGCAGACAGUAUGACUUUACCACCAACGUAUUAGUCAGUAAAAUGUCCCAUCACAAGAAAAUCAAAACUAUGGACUUAAAUAUUCAAAAUUUGCACUGUUUUAUAAGGUCUUAUAAGAUAAAUAACUACUUUUUAAAUUGUAUUAUGCAAAACCACAUUAUAAGGUCUUAUAAGAAAAAUAACUAUGUUUUAAAAUGUAUUAUGCAUAAGCACAUUAUAAGGUCUUAUGUGAUAAAUAACUAUGUUUUAAAAUGUAUUAUGCAUAAGCACAUUGUAAGGUCUUAUAAGAUAAAUAACUUUGCUUUAAAAUGUAUUUUGCGUGAGCAAAAUAUAAGGUCUCAUAAGCUAAAUAACUACUGUAUAAAUUGUAUUUUGCAUAAGGACAUUGCGAACAAUGUAUGUACUGUUAGUACCACAGUAAAUUUUUUGAUGAUGUAUGUGAACAAUAUUUAUGGAAUUAAAAAAGUCUGUUUUAGUACAUCUA